rnacentral:misc_RNA from 1 species
GGAGCACACAGUGAUGGGGAAGAAA